GAUUUAAGAAAUAAAAGGGAAAACAAUGACCUAAGUCAAAGUUUAUUAUGAAAGUGGUUAUAAGAAGGAGAUAGAGAGAGAUAAAAUCCUAAGGUUUACAUUGAGGGGAACCUAAGAUUGUAUCUAGAAGUUUUGGAUUAAGGGGAAUCAAAGUUUCAUAGGAUGCAGAUGAACACAUACAUGCAAAACAACAAGAACGUCAUGAUUCCCUUCCCUUGGAUAUAAACAAUAACAAGGUUGAAUAUGUAUUAACAUUAAGGCACAAAAUAUGGCUAAAUACAAUGACAAUCACAAGGUGAGGGAGGUAUAGAAGACAAUAUUGAUCAUGGUUUUUAGGCAUUGAGAUAAACAUAAACAAGGCAUGAUGAAGUUUCACAUAACAUCACAAGACACAACACAUUGAUGGUGAAGACAAAAUCAUAUUUGACAUGGUAAAUGCAUUCAUUGAUACAUGGUAAACGCAACAUGAAUUAAUUUAGGUCAAACAUGUAUCACAUUAUAAGUCUUCACAAAAUAAACAUUACACUUGACUCAAAGUUCAUGAUAAGAACAAGCUUAAGUGGAAACCUAAUCACCUCCUACCCAAGCAUGUUUUCAAGGUGACUCAAUUGAUACAUCAUAUGAAGAUAAUUAAGUUCAAAGAUGUUAAGGAUAACAAUCAACAUUUAACAGAGUUUGCUUUAAUCCUACAAACUUUCAACAUCAAGAACAAACAAGACAUAAGCCAAAAUAAUCAAUUAAGAGCCUAAAAAACAUUUAAAAGAACAUGUCUUCCAUCCAAUCAAAAGUGGUGAAAUAAAUAAUAUUUUUGGGAAUUUUUUGGUGUCAUCAUAAAAUAGAUAUUCUCAUGAACACAUGGCAAAAUGAAUGAGUCAAAAAUGCUAAGGGAUCAUGAAGUUAUGGAUAUUUGAAGUUAUGAAGAAAAAUAAACAUUUAACAAGUGAUAAAAAAUUAACAUUACACUGGCCAGGUUCGAACCCGCGUCCUUGAAGUUCCAUGUACUGUUUGGAAAAAAUAAAAACCAAAGUCUAGGGAGGUGGGGAUUCGAACCCUAGACCUUUUGGUUAUAAGUGACUUUGGACGUGCGCUUCUACCACUGGGGUGGCUAUACAUCCAUUUGAUUUAAGAAAUAAAAGGGAAAAUAAUGACCUAAGUCAAAGUUUAUUAUGAAAAUGGUUAUAAGAAGGAGAGAGAGAGAGAGAGAGAGAGAGAGAGAGAGAGAGAUAAAAUCCUAAGGUUUUCAUUGAGGGGAACCUAAGAUUGUAUCUAGAAGUUUUGGAUUAAGGGGAAUGAAAGUUUCAUAGAAUGCAGAUGAACACAUACAUGCAAAACGACAAGAAUGUCAUGAUUCCCUUCCCUUGGAUAUAAAUAAAUAACAAGGUUGAAUAUGCAAUAACAUUAAGGCACAAAAUAUGGCUAAAUACAAUGACAAUCACAAAGUGAGGGAGCUAUGGAUGACAAUAUUGAUCAUGGUUUUAAGGCAUUGAGAUAUACAUAAAC
rnacentral:lncRNA from 1 species